rnacentral:rRNA from 1 species
GGAGUCUGGGCCGUGUCUCAGUCCCAAUGUGGCCGUUCAUCCUCUCAGAUCGGCUACGCAUCAUCGUCUUGGUGGGCCGUUACCUCACCAACUAACUAAUGCGACAUGAACCCAUCCUGUUGUGUUGUGACCCAACUUUAAUAGAAGAAGGAUGCCCUUCCGCUACCUAUCCGGUAUUAGCGAUCUUUUCAGAUCGUUAUCCCAGUCAUCAGGGUAGGUUGUUCAUGUGUUACUCACCCGUUCGCCACUGAUCAAUCACCGAAGUGAUUUCUCCGUUCGACUUGCAUGUAUUAGGCACGCCGCCAGCGUUCAUC